UAAUCCAUAUGAUCUCAAACU
ensembl:piRNA 21ur-5497 ncRNA